GACGUAGGGGGCGAGCGUUGCCCGGAUUCACUGGGCGUAAAGCGCGUGUAGGCGGUUUGUUAAGUCGGAUGUGAAAGCUCCGGGCUCAACUCGGAAAUUGCAUCCGAUACUGGCAGACUUGAGGAUGGUAGAGGUCGGUGGAACGGCGAGUGUACCGGUGAAAUGGGCAGAUAUUCGCCAGAACACCAGUGGCGAAGGCGGCCGACUGGGCCAUUCCUGACGCUGAGACGCGAAAGCCAGGGUAGCGAACCGG
rnacentral:rRNA from 1 species